AGUGAACGCUGGCGGUAGGCCUAACACAUGCAAGUCGAACGGCAGCACAGUAAGAGCUUGCUCUUACGGGUGGCGAGUGGCGGACGGGUGAGGAAUACAUCGGAAUCUACUUUUUCGUGGGGGAUAACGUAGGGAAACUUACGCUAAUACCGCAUACGACCUACGGGUGAAAGCAGGGGAUCCUCGGACCUUGCGCGAUUGAAUGAGCCGAUGUCGGAUUAGCUAGUUGGCGGGGUAAAGGCCCACCAAGGCGACGAUCCGUAGCUGGUCUGAGAGGAUGAUCAGCCACACUGGAACUGAGACACGGUCCAGACUCCUAUGGGAGGCAGCAGUGGGGAAUAUUGGACAAUGGGCGCAAGCCUGAUCCAGCCAUACCGCGUGGGUGAAGAAGGCCUUCGGGUUGUAAAGCCCUUUUGUUGGGAAAGAAAAGCAGCAGGUUAAUACCCCGCUGUUCUGACGGUACCCAAAGAAUAAGCACCGGCUAACUUCGUG
rnacentral:rRNA from 1 species